UACGUAGGGGGCUAGCGUUGUCCGGAUUUAUUGGGCGUAAAGAGCGUGUAGGCGGCCAGGUAGGUCUGCUGUGAAAACUCGAGGCUCAACCUCGAGACGUCGGCGGAAACCAUCUGGCUAGAGUCCGGAAGAGGAGAGUGGAAUUCCUGGUGUAGCGGUGAAAUGCGCAGAUAUCAGGAAGGAACACCCGUGGCGAAGGCGGGCU
rnacentral:rRNA from 1 species